UGCGGCGGCCGCGUCCGCCAGCUGCGGCUUCCUCCAGCCCCCCCUCCCGGGCGCGCCCCGACUCGCGGCAGCAGUUGCCGGGACUCGCGCGUGGGUGUGUUGUUUGUGGGCUUCUGCCUCGGCGCCGCGGGUGCCACCUCCCGGGACGCUGCCCAGCGUCCCCGGUCGCGGUACAGAGUGCCUCAAGAACUUGAGUGUGGAACAUCACCAGUGGAACUGAGGCGUUUCUUCAUGAUCAAACAAAUAAUAGAAGUCUGUUGAAGCUUUGUCCUGACCUAUUCUGGAAGUAGAAGAAUACCCUGGAGAAAGGAGCAUUGUAAGCACAAAGAAUAAAACCCCUCAAUCCUGGGAGAGAGAAUUAAAGUCUAACCCUCCAAAUGUAAGUCAUCUGUACUCCAUGUUUGCCAUCUCUGUUUUUGUGGCUGCUCAGGUGUUAGUAGAAAAAUAUGUGAUGACAAUAUUCUUUGCAUUUGUUUUUCUCUACAAAAUAUACAUUUCUUUUGGUUGGUAACUUAAAUUUG
rnacentral:lncRNA from 1 species